AUUGAACGCUGGCGGCAUGCUUUACACAUGCAAGUCGAACGGUAACAGGUUAAGCUGACGAGUGGCGAACGGGUGAGUAAUGCAUCGGAACGUGCCCGAUCGUGGGGGAUAACGUAGCGAAAGUUACGCUAAUACCGCAUCCGAUCUGAGGAUGAAAGCGGGGGACCGUAAGGCCUCGCGCGCUCGGAGCGGCCGCUGUCGGAUUAGGUAGUUGGUGGGGUAAAGGCCCACCAAGCCGACGAUCUGUAACUGGUCUGAGAGGACGACCAGCCACACUGGGACGGGGACACGGCCCAGACUGCUACGGGAGGCAGCAGUGGGUAAUUUUGCGCAAUGGGGGGAUCCCUGACGCAGCACCGCCGCGUGAGUGAGGAAGGCCUUCGGGUCGUAAAGCUCUUUUAGUGGGGAAGAAUCCCACCCGGGCUAAUACCUCGGGUGUCUGACGGUACCCACAGAAAAAGUUCCGGCUAACUACGUGCCAGCCGCCGCGGUAACAC
rnacentral:rRNA from 1 species